rfam:Camelus ferus unplaced genomic scaffold scaffold1179, whole genome shotgun sequence.
CAGCAACUGAUACUCCUCCAGGUGCCUUCUUGAGUGUCAGUGCUGAAGAGAGAAGCCUCUUCAAAGGAAGAUCAAAACCAAGCAAGGUUGAAAAGAGAAGCUUCUUUAAAUGCCAGUGUAUCAAGAAAAAUGAAAGCAUGUGAAACUGGGGUCAAAGAUCUCAGUACACAUUCCCGACGCUC